CAUCUGUGUAAAGAGAAAUGAAUUUUGUUGCAGUAACGUUGUGAUAUUCUCGAUUUGAUAAUGAUAAAGUAACCGCAGCGACGAACCGGCUGGGAAUACUAAGAAACGGUUACGGCAUUGAUAUCGAUCAGAACAACACGUAUUACGAUUACUGGGUGUGUAUAUAACGCGAAGGGUUGGUGGGGGUCGGAGGUGGACGGUGAGAAGGACGAGGAUGACGAGGAGAACAAGGUGGACGAGGAGGACGAGGAUUUGUGGACUACAAGAAAUACGCACUUUAUCUUUCCUGCCGAUUCCAGAGUCAAGCGGCUUACGCCCUUCGAUGGUCAGUCGUCUACUAAAGAUGUAUUCUCCAGGUAACGGGUCAGCUAAUAACGCUGCCGUUCUGCGACAGUUGGAUGAAAACAAUUUUAGCUGGUACCUUUCAAAUGUGUGUUAAAAUACACUAGAAGUUUUAAGAUGCUUCCUUCUUU
rnacentral:misc_RNA from 1 species